rnacentral:rRNA from 1 species
GACGAACGCUGGCGGCGUGCUUAACACAUGCAAGUCGAACGGAAAGGCCCUGCUUUUGUGGGGUGCUCGAGUGGCGAACGGGUGAGUAACACGUGAGUAACCUGCCCUUGACUUUGGGAUAACUUCAGGAAACUGGGGCUAAUACCUGAUAGGAGCUCCUGCUGCAUGGUGGGGGUUGGAAAGUUUCGGCGGUUGGGGAUGGACUCGCGGCUUAUCAGCUUGUUGGUGGGGUAGUGGCUUACCAAGGCUUUGACGGGUAGCCGGCCUGAGAGGGUGACCGGCAACAUGGGGACUGAGAUACGGCCCAGACUCCUACGGGAGGCAGCAGUGGGGAAUAUUGCACAAUGGGCGGAAGCCUGAUGCAGCAACGCCGCGUGCGGGAUGACGGCCUUCGGGUUGUAAACCGCUUUCGCCUGUGACGAAGCGUGAGUGACGGUAAUGGGUAAAGAAGCACCGGCUAACUACGUG